UACGAAGGGGGCUAGCGUUGCUCGGAAUUACUGGGCGUAAAGGGCGCGGAGGCGGACAGUUUAGUCAGAGGUGAAAGCCCAGGGCUCAACCUUGGAAUUGCCUUUGAUACUGGCUGUCUUGAGUUCGGGAGAGGUGAGUGGAAUGCCGAGUGUAGAGGUGAAAUUCGUAGAUAUUCGGCGGAACACCAGUGGCGAAGGCGACUCACUGGCCCGAUACUGACGCUGAGGCGCGAAAGCGUGGGGAGCAAACAGG
rnacentral:rRNA from 1 species